UACGUAGGUGGCAAGCGUUAUCCGGAUUUACUGGGUGUAAAGGGCGCGUAGGCGGGUUUCCAAGUCGGAUGUGAAAAGGCAAGGCUCAACUUUGCUCGGUCAUCCGAAACUGGAGAUCUUGAGUGUCUGAGGGGAAAGCGGAAUUCCUGGUGUAGCGGUGGAAUGCGCAGAGAUCAGGAGGAAUACCGAAGGCGAAGGCAGUCUUCCAAGCCGUUAUUGACGCUCAACUGCGAAGGUGUGGGUAUCAAACAGGAUUAGAUACCCUGGUAGU
rnacentral:rRNA from 1 species